rnacentral:lncRNA from 1 species
CUUUCCACAAGUAAUGAGCAGCUCCAAUGCAAUAGGCAAAAAAAUGUUCAAAUUGAGAAGCUUCAGUUUGAUGGUGGUGCACAGGCACAAGGCUGCCUCCAGUUCCACCAGCCCUGCCAGCACGGGGCAGCACUCAUUCACUGCCGGGUCGCCAAGCCCAACAUGCACCAGACCACCCAACAAAUCAACACAAGCCCCCAAUUUUAAGGCAUCAAUGGGACAUGUCGCAGAAGCUGGAGGUGGUGGGCAUCCUGGCCCUCCAGUAUAGGGUGGCGGUCCACCAAUAAUUGGAGUGACAACAGGUGGGAGUUCGAUCGGUGGCUUUGUGAUGGGGGGAACGGUAACGGGAGGGAGCUCGAUCGGUGGCUUUACAAUGGGAGGAACGGUAACGGGAGGGAGAUUGAUUGGUGGCUUUACAACGGGGGGAACGGUAACGGGAGGGAGAUUGAUGGGUGGCUUUACAACAGGGGGAACGGUAACCGGAGGUUUGAUGACCGGGGGCUUAACGAUGACCGGAGGGGGUUUGAAGGGGGGCUUUACAACAGGGGGAACGGUAACCGGAGGUUUGAUGACCGGGGGCUUAACGAUGACCGGAGGGGGUUUGAAGGGGGGCUUAACGAUGACGGGUGGGUAUGUUUUCGGGGGUUUGUAUUUGGG